GACGAACGCUGGCGGCGUGCUUAACACAUGCAAGUCGAACGGAAAGGCCCUGCUUUUGUGGGGUGCUCGGGUGGCGAACGGGUGAGUAACACGUGAGUAACCUGCCCUUGACUUUGGGAUAACUUCAGGAAACUGGGGCUAAUACCGGAUAGGAGCUCCUGCUGCAUGGUGGGGGUUGGAAAGUUUCGGCGGUUGGGGAUGGACUCGCGGCUUAUCAGCUUGUUGGUGGGGUAGUGGCUUACCAAGGCUUUGACGGGUAGUCGGCCUGAGAGGGUGACCGGCCACAUUGGGACUGAGAUACGGCCCAGACUCCUACGGGAGGCAGCAGUGGGGAAUAUUGCACAAUGGGCGGAAGCCUGAUGCAGCAACGCCGCGUGCGGGAUGACGGCCUUCGGGUUGUAAACCGCUUUCGCCUGUGACGAAGCGUGAGUGACGGUAAUGGGUAAAGAAGCACCGGCUAACUACGUG
rnacentral:rRNA from 1 species